rnacentral:rRNA from 1 species
AAUUUUGGACAAUGGUGGAAACCCUGAUCCAGCCACCCCGCGUGUAUGAUGAAGGCUUUCGUGUUGUAAAGUACUCGUGGCAGAGAAGAAAAGGUAUCUCCUAAUACUAGAUACUGCUGACUGUAUCUGCAGAAGAAGCUCCGGCUAACUACGUGCCAGCCGCCGCGGUAAUACGUAUGGUGCAAGCGUUAAUCGGAAUUACUGGGCUUAAGGCAUGUGUAGGCGGUUGGGAAAGAAAGAUGUGAAAUCCCAGGGCUCAACCUUGGAACUGCAUUUGUAACUGCCGAGCUAGAGUAUGUCAGAGGGGGGUAGAAUUCCACGUGUAGCAGUGAAAUGCGUAGAUAUGUGGAGGAAUACCGAUGGCGAAGGCAGCCCCCUGGGAUAAUACUGACGCUCAGACACGAAAGCGUGGGGAGCAAACAGG